UAGAGUUUGAUCAUGGCUCAGGAUGAACGCUGGCGGUAUGCCUAAUACAUGCAAGUCGUACGAAAGUUUUUAACUUUAGUGGCGGACGGGUGAGUAACGCGUGAGAAUUUACCUUUAGGAGGGGGAUAACAACUGGAAACGGUUGCUAAUACCCCAUAUGCUUUCGAGUGAAAUAGAUUUAUCUGCCUGAAGAGAAGCUCGCGUCUGAUUAGCUUGUUGGUGGGGUAACGGCCUACCAAGGCGACGAUCAGUAUCUGGUUUGAGAGGAUGAUCAGACACACUGGAACUGAGACACGGUCCAGACUCCUACGGGAGGCAGCAGUAGGGAAUUUUCCGCAAUGGGCGAAAGCCUGACGGAGCAAUACCGCGUGAGGGAAGACUGCCUAUGGGUUGUAAACCUCUUUUUUCAGGGAGGAAUUUUGACGUGUACCUGAAGAAUAAGCAUCGGCUAACUCCGUGCCAGCAGCCGCGGUAAGACGGAGGAUGCAAGUGUUAUCCGGAAUCACUGGGCGUAAAGCGUCUGUAGGUGGUUGAACAAGUCAACUGUUAAAUCUUGAAGCUCAACUUCAAAAUCGCAGUCGAAACUGUUUGACUAGAGUAUAGUAGGGGUAAAGGGAAUUUCCAG
rnacentral:rRNA from 1 species